AUUGAACGCUGGCGGCAGGCCUAACACAUGCAAGUCGAACGGUAACAGGAAGCAGCUUGCUGCUUCGCUGACGAGUGGCGGACGGGUGAGUAAUGUCUGGGAAACUGCCCGAUGGAGGGGGAUAACUACUGGAAACGGUAGCUAAUACCGCAUAACGUCGCAAGACCAAAGAGGGGGACCUUCGGGCCUCUUGCCAUCGGAUGUGCCCAGAUGGGAUUAGCUAGUUGGUGAGGUAACGGCUCACCAAGGCGACGAUCCCUAGCUGGUCUGAGAGGAUGACCAGCCACACUGGAACUGAGACACGGUCCAGACUCCUACGGGAGGCAGCAGUGGGGAAUAUUGCACAAUGGGCGCAAGCCUGAUGCAGCCAUGCCGCGUGUAUGAAGAAGGCCUUCGGGUUGUAAAGUACUUUCAGCGGGGAGGAAGGGGUUAAGGUUAAUAACCUUAGCCAUUGACGUUACCCGCAGAAGAAGCACCGGCUAACUCCGUGCCAGCAGCCGCGGUAACAC
rnacentral:rRNA from 1 species